AGUGAACGCUGGCGGUAGGCCUAACGCAUGCAAGUCGAACGGCAGCACAGUAAGAGCUUGCUCUUACGGGUGGCGAGUGGCGGACGGGUGAGGAAUACAUCGGAAUCUACUUUUUCGUGGGGGAUAACGUAGGGAAACUUACGCUAAUACCGCAUACAACCUACGGGUGAAAGCAGGGGAUCUUCGGACCUUGCGCGAUUGAAUGAGCCGAUGUCGGAUUAGCUAGUUGGCGGGGUAAAGGCCCACCAAGGCGACGAUCCGUAGCUGGUCUGAGAGGAUGAUCAGCCACACUGGAACUGAGACACGGUCCAGACUCCUACGGGAGGCAGCAGUGGGGAAUAUUGGACAAUGGGCGCAAGCCUGAUCCAGCCAUACCGCGUGGGUGAAGAAGGCCUUCGGGUUGUAAAGCCCUUUUGUUGGGAAAGAAAAGCAGCAGGUUAAUACCCCGCUGUUCUGACGGUACCCAAAGAAUAAGCACCGGCUAACUUCGUG
rnacentral:rRNA from 1 species